GUAAACUAAAGCUUUUAGAAGCACCGAGUUUUUAGUUCGUGUGAAGGUGUGUAAGGAACCUAGUUUAGU
rnacentral:tRNA from 1 species